rnacentral:rRNA from 1 species
AAGAUUAAGCCAUGCAUGUCUAAGUAUAAGCACUUAUACCGUGAAACUGCGAAUGGCUCAUUAAAUCAGUUAUCGUUCAUUUGAUAGUACCUUACUACUUGGAUAACCGUGGUAAUUCUAGAGCUAAUACAUGCUAAAAACCCCGACUUCGGGAGGGGUGUAUUUAUUAGAUAAAAAACCAAUGCCCUUCGGGGCUCUUUGGUGAUUCAUGAUAACUUAACGGAUCGCAUGGCCUUGCGCCGGCGACGGUUCAUUCAAAUUUCUGCCCUAUCAACUUUCGAUGGUAAGGUAUUGGCUUACCAUGGUUUCAACGGGUAACGGGGAAUUAGGGUUCGAUUCCGGAGAGGGAGCCUGAGAAACGGCUACCACAUCCAAGGAAGGCAGCAGGCGCGCAAAUUACCCAAUCCCGACUCGGGGAGGUAGUGACAAUAAAUACUGAUACAGGGCUCUUUUGGGUCUUGUAAUCGGAAUGAGUACAAUUUAAACCCCUUAACGAGGAACAAUUGGAGGGCAAGUCUGGUGCCAGCAGCCGCGGUAAUUCCAGCUCCAAUAGCGUAUAUUAAAGUUGUUGCAGUUAAAAAGCUCGUAGUUGAACCUUGGGCCUGGCUGGCCGGUCCGCCUCACCGCGUGUACUGGUCCGGCCGGGCCUUUCCUUCUGGAGAGCCGCAUGCCCUUCACUGGGUGUGUUGGGGAACCAGGACUUUUACUUUGAAAAAAUUAGAGUGUUCAAAGCAGGCCUUUGCUCGAAUACGUUAGCAUGGAAUAAUAGAAUAGGACGUGCGGUCCUAUUUUGUUGGUUUCUAGGACCGCCGUAAUGAUUAAUAGGGAUAGUCGGGGGCAUCAGUAUUCAAUUGUCAGAGGUGAAAUUCUUGGAUUUAUUGAAGACUAACUACUGCGAAAGCAUUUGCCAAGGAUGUUUUCAUUAAUCAGUGAACGAAAGUUAGGGGAUCGAAGACGAUCAGAUACCGUCGUAGUCUUAACCGUAAACUAUGCCGACUAGGGAUCGGGCGAUGUUUUUAUCUUGACUCGCUCGGCACCUUACGAGAAAUCAAAGUUUUUGGGUUCU